CAAGGCUUGACAUAUACGAGAACGGGCCAGAAAUGGUCAACUCUUUGGACACUCGUAUACAGGUGGUGCAUGGUUGUCGUCAGCUCGUGUCGUGAGAUGUUCGGUUAAGUCCGGCAACGAGCGCAACCCUCGUCCUAUGUUGCUAGCACGUUAUGGUGGGAACUCAUGGGAUACUGCCGUGGUCAACACGGAGGAAGGUGGGGAUGACGUCAAAUCAUCAUGCCCCUUAUGUCUUGGGCUUCACGCAUGCUACAAUGGCCGAUACAAAGGGCUGCGAUACCGCGAGGUGGAGCGAAUCCCAAAAAGUCGGUCUCAGUUCGGAUUGGGGUCUGCAACUCGACCCCAUGAAGUCGGAGUCGCUAGUAAUCGCAGAUCAGCAACGCUGCGGUGAAUACGUUCCC
rnacentral:rRNA from 1 species